GGGCUUGUAAUUAAUGAUAAUAUUGUCUACUUUUCUUAUAAGAUUCUUAAUCAAAUCAAUUCUUUUUUUGGGUUGUUUUUUGCAACUGAAUAUUCAUUUGUUGCCUUCCUAAUAAUUUUUCAUUUGUUUUGUUUGAGGGGGCAGGACUCCUGCUGCAUAUAAGUUUAAAUAACGCAUACCAACAAGUUAAAAUACAAAUUACAAAGCAUUGCCUUCAAAGGGCUUAGCAAAAACAACAAAUAACAUUAUCAUAAAAUACUCCAAUAGUCCAAUUGUCACCAUCGAAACCUGAAAUUAAAAAUAUAAAAUUAUAACUUGAUGAAUUAAAUUAGAAGAUAUAAAAAUAAAAGUAUUCCACAUCAGAUUUGAGCAAUUUUCAAGAGAAAUUCCAAGCAAUAGAAUGAAAAUAGGAAGCUGAACAGAGAAACAAAAAUCCAAAUAGAAGCAGAAACAAUUUUUCAUAUAAAGAAUAAAAUCAAUAUGAUUUUCCACCAACAUGUACACUGAAGAUCAAAAUACAUAUAAGGAAUCUCUCAUUUCCUUAAUUAUCAACGAAAAUAAAGCACAAACAUGGGUUUUCAAUUCUGCCUACGUGGUUUGGAAAACAGUUUUACACAUUCUGCACUUUCUCAUAUUGUUGUUGUCAAUUUGACUAAUUUGAAGAAACAGAAAAUAAUUAAUUUGCAAUUCUGACUAAUUAAUUUGCAAUUCCGCAAGCACUAGAUCAAAAUAUAUAGUAUAUACAUUCCUUUCAGUGCUUAAACAUGGGUUUUUAAUUAUCAACGAAAAUAAGCACAAACAUGGGUUUUCAAUUUUACAAACAUUCCUUUCAUUGCUACCCAAUUAAAGCAAUCACAAACAUUUACGCAAGCAAUACAGGAAAAUAAAAACCCAAUAAAAAACUACAAAUGGUUACCUUAGAUAUGGAUUUUUGAGCAUUCAAAACAACAACUGUGUCUCUAACCUCUGCAUUGAAAAGCAAAUACAAUAAAUAUAAUAGAGGAUAGACUAAUUAAUUAACUAAAAAGGAAAAAACAUCAUUAAAACUUACUGCAAUAAAAUCAAACUUAUUUGGAAGGGGGUAAAGAUACAGAGGUAGUUUAGCUGCGAAACAAUGAAAUUCAAUUAGCAGUGUCUACUUAUCUGAAAUACCAACUAACAUAAGCAUUCAAUUUCAGUUAGUAAUACUCAACGUUAGUGAAAUGAAUCUUAUUUGGAACAUGCAGGAUUGGAAAAACCAAAACAAUCUAUCUAUUUCAUGGAACAAGAUAUUUAUGAAUCUUGAGAGCUGUUGCUCUGCAUAAGUUUUAGAAUAUACCCUUUACAAAUGAGUUGCAAGAACAAAAACUAGUUUCUAAUUACUUUGUGUGGGCUGGCAAGUGGCAGGUGGGAAGUCAGAGUGAUCAAAGCCGUAAGCUUAAUCACCUCCAAAAAUGUCAUUAGGUUGGAACCAGUCAUGGAUAGACAAAAACUCACCCUGAUAUAAACAUGACUAUACAUAAAUCAAUUGUGGAAGUCUAUUUCAACUUUAAAAGAGAAUGAUGAUUUAAAGUUGUCCGCCUAAAUUUCAAAGAAAAAUGCUUGACAUGUAAAUCUUAGCUGGAACUCGCCGUGCUAAUAAAUCUUGAAGAAAAAGGAUGUUGAUUAGUAUCUAGUAGAACUGGCCAACUAGAUAGGUUCUGCUGUUCUGGAACACGUUGAUCUAUUGUUGAGACUUGAGAGGCUUGAUUGGUUUCAACUUUCAAAUUUCAGCUGAUGAUUGACGUUUCUCUUGUUGUCUGUGUUUGAGAGUCUAAGACUCUAAGGAGAGGGGGGAGCAGCCGCGGGUGCUGGUGUUAGGAUUUCAGCUGAUGCUUGGCGUGUCUCUGAUGUUUGAGAAUCUAGGGAGAGGCGGCGAUUGCGGGUGCUAGGGUUAGGAUUUAGCUAAGCGUCUCUGAUGUUUGAGAGAAAGAGAAGGGGCGGGCGCACUGCUAG
rnacentral:lncRNA from 1 species